CCUACGGGAGGCAGCAGUGAGGAAUAUUGGUCAAUGGGCGGGAGCCUGAACCAGCCAAGUCGCGUGAGGGAAGACGGUCCUAUGGAUUGUAAACCUCUUUAGGCGGGGAGCAAUGCCGGGCACGCGUGCCCGGAGGGAGAGUACCCGCAGAAUAAGCAUCGGCUAACUCCGUGCCAGCAGCCGCGGUAAUAGGGAGGAUGCGAGCGUUAUCCGGAUGUAUUGGGUUUAAAGGGUGCGUAGGCGGACUUUUAAGUCAGCGGUAAAAUGUCCGGGCUCAACCCGGGCCGGCCGGUGAAACGGGGGAUCUUGAGUGGGCGAGAAGUAUGCGGAAGGCGUGGUGUAGCGGUGAAAUGCAUAGAUAUCACGCAGAACUCCGAUUGCGAAGGCAGCAUACCGGCGCCCGACUGACGCUGAGGCACGAAAGCGUGGGGAUCGAACAGGAUUAGAUACCCGUGUAGUC
rnacentral:rRNA from 1 species